rnacentral:snoRNA from 1 species
CUCACUUUGCCACACUCUGGACUCUGCCCAUAUUUACCGUGGCCCUGUCCAAUUUUCAGUGCAAAGAAGAUUACAUCUUCUGUCCUACUACUCACCGGCAUGUCUCCUCUUUCGGAGCGUGGGCAUAUCGGUCCAUGUUUAAGGUCAACAU